ACCUGCCAGUGUGCAUUGGAACAGACUGUGGACAUUGAUUGAGUGCACCUGGUGCCAAUCAGCUUGAUUAACAGGACUGGAUCUCGGGCAAUGACAGCAAACAAAAGACACAAUCAGACGAAGACCGAAAAGGGUGAGAGCCGGGAGGAAGCAGACAAAGCAGAGGAACAGGGCAGCGCGGCGAGCCGCAGGGCGCGCGGCGGUGCAAGCCGCCGUGGAGAGCCGGAAGGAAGCAGACAGAGCAGAGGAGGGCAGCGCGGCGAGAGCCGGCAGGAAGCAGACAGAGCAGAGGGACAGGCAGUGCGGCGGCGGCAGAAGCAGCGGGGAACGGCAGCGUGCAAGGGGCAGCACGAUAGAUAACCGGGCAGAAGCGGCGGUGUAUGACGAGCACCAGGGCGGACUACUAGGCUGAAACAAGGGCGCACAGCACCGGCACAGAGACAGGGCGACCGAAGAGCGAGAGAGAGAUGCACGGCAGCCGUAAAGUGGGGCCAGGUCUGGAACGCACGGCGGUUUGCGGCAUACUGGGCGGCUUGGAUAUCGCCGCCCAGACCCGGAUUGUCAACCACCUCCUUUGUUGCACAUGGGCUAUUAGGACCUCAUAACUGUCAGGAAACCUGUGGCUUGCCUGGAGCCUUAUACUCUGCCGUACCCCUUGUGGUGAAUCAAACUCACUUCCAGCUGCUCCAGAGAUGUACUGCAAGCAAGAAAACUGAGGCAGAGUCAGUCAGAUGGUGCAUGAAUAAAAAUCCAAACUAUAAGUAAGCAGAGAUGUAAAACUGCAUCAAAGUUGCAACAAAUACAUUUUGAAAAGCUAAAAACACAUUUAGGGCAAAGCAUGUGACUUUGAAUUAAAGUGAUUUCAUCCUUCAAGUUAUUGCAUUGGUCACUGGAAUGUUUCUGGAUGCAUCAAGUGUAGUUAGCUGAUAUGAAGAUCCAGUCUUGAUGAGCCUGGAGAUUGCAGGACACUGUAUGAUCUAAAUACAUAUUGUCUUGAAUCUGGAUGAGUAGUAAUCUGAAGUAAAAACACAACGGCUGUGAUCAGAAAGCAUAAAAUAUUUUACUGUAAACAUAUUAUAUGUAAAGGUGAGGCACAUCUUCUGGUAAUAUGCACCAUUUAACUAUGUCAAAUACAUGCCUGCAGAAAUUCAAUGCGGAAAAAUUCCUCAGUUAAUUUACACCUUUCAUUAACUUUAUUUGCUUUAUUUACUUGCUUUAUUUUAUUGUAUUUUAUGUACAGCAUCUUUGAGAUACUUGUAAAGUGUUUUAUAAAUAAAAUGUAUUACUAACAACUCUCUUUAAUGCUAAGCUAAACCCCUAGCUCGUUAUACAUUCUCCUGCUUUGCUUUAUUAUUCAAUUAGCCAGUUGAACUUUGAUUUGCAAUUAAUUAAUCCCUUUCAUUUGUCUUGUCCAAUCACUAACCUGUGCCCUCUUUACAGCUAAGUUGCUCUGGUAUUUUUUUUGCCUGCAACCAUAAAUACAUGACUCACAUAAAUAGUGCAUAAAAUAUUGCAUUAUAAAAGAUUGAAAAGCACCUCUGCAAAGAUAUAAGAAUGCUGCCUUUUUAUUUUAACAUUAGAAACAUAUAUUGCUACAUUCAGGUUUAUUUACCUCUCUGAAUCUCUUACUUUUAAAGAAUUGAAUACAGGCUUACAUAUAUCGAGCAGGUCUGAAGUAACUGACAUUUUAUUACACCAUUGUGACAGAUCUGACUUUAAUUACAUCCCUGCUCCAAUUUACAAAGUUCUACAACGUGUUUGCAUUUUUUAGCUUCAGUGUUGCCCUGUAAAGAGCCAUUUCACACUGCGAGACCUACAGUUCCAAUAACUGUAAAUGAAUCCCUUAUAAAGCUUGGCAGGGAAUGAAUGCAUUUAUAAAACAAUGCAGCGGGAUGCGUUGGUGGAGUGAUGCUGCUUUAGGCACUGAUGAAACAUCAACUUUGAUCCAGAAAGUCCAUUUAAAGUAACAGAUCAGUGACUUUGGUGGUUUAUCAGGCCCAUCAAAGGCACCAGAACGUUAUCUCAGAGGCUGUAUUUUUUUAUUAUUUACUGCAACAAUUGCAAAAAAAAAAAAAAAAACGGUAGAAA